rnacentral:lncRNA from 1 species
GGAGAAAAGGAUCCCUGGAAAAAGGCUGUUCACUGAAGAUUAAUGCAGGCACCUGAAGAUGAAUUUGAACCAUUUGGAUUUCUGGGUAUGGUUCGUGCAAUCCCUGCCCAGGGACCACGUCUGAAGCUGGGACACGAAAUGAGAAGAGAAACCCAAAUCUAAAGGACUGAACUGGGAUGAGUUGGUCCAAGGUGUGGCAAUGUGUCUAAAUCCACGGCAAGCCUUAUUUAACUCCUAUUUCGGGGAUGAAAAACUGCCCUGCAUUGAGACUUCGCUGUUGUGUAAGCAGGAACCUGAGAACUCCAGAAUCCAGGAGGGAAUCCGACUAAAAUUCACAAUUUUUUGGUGGAAAACCAAUCAUGGCUUUCCUUCAGCACAGGCAAGGGGCAUUCAAACACUGCAGCAACCCCAAACAAAGCCUUCAAGCAUUUUCUCCUGCACUUUUUGUCACUCAGUUUGACUUCCUGACAUACAGAGGGAAUUUUCUUUCACCAUUCUCCAUCUUGGCUUGUGCCCACCUAAAAUUUGCAAAUUUUCCAAAGAAAUGAAUGUCUGAUUAAUAUUUGGGGUUCUGGAGGAAUGUGUCCAGCCUUUUUCCAGUCCCACGUGGAAUGCAAGGCUGCAUCUCUGCUUUGGGCCAUAAAACAAGUCAUAAUUAAAAUAUUUAUGAUCCUGAAAGAGCUGGAUUACCACAGAGCAGCCUCCUGCUCAUAGCCAGGACAAGUCUGGAGGAGAAAACAUAAAAAUCAUAAAAAUGACACCAAGAUCAUCUCAGAGCAGCACCACAGCCCCUCUGCCUGCAGAGGGGUAAAACACACCUCCAAAACAACGCAAUAUUUCUGUGGAAAUGUUGUACCUUUAUUUAUCCUUUUUCUACUCUUCAUCCACACUUUUGCUGUUACAGUUCCACUUAUCCCACAGAUCACCAGGAAUUAAAAUUUCAUCCUCAACUCUCCUCCUCUCUUCAUGUUAAAGGGUUUGUUUGCCAUCCCCUAAGGAUCAUUCUCUCCCACUCCCACCAGCUCCUGGGGUUUUUAAGGCUGUGAGGGAAGGGGAGAUCAGAAGAAAGAGGUGUCAGCUUUUUUGUUGUUUUUAAGUGAAGGAAUAAGCUUGGGAAACGCAGUCCCUGCCUCUGUAUCCAGCACCUCUAGGACCAUCAGAUCCUUCUGGCGCACAGCAGGAAGGUCCUGCAGCUCCCAGUGCUCCCUGGGAUCUUGAAAAUAUCCUUUCUGUCAUUCUGGGAUUUAAGACAGCACAACUGACAGGAAAAAGAAGUUUAGGAAGUCAUUGGGAAAAACAAAAAUCAUUGGUGUGGUUCUGCAGGUUACUAAGACUUAAUGAUCUGUUAUUUCCAGUUUAAUCUUUGUGCUUUCUUAUGGAAGCAGACUAUUUUGAGGUGAGAGUUCUUCAUUAAAUUAAAACAAAAAAUAAAAAAAAACCAAAAAAAAAAAAAAAAACCCA